rnacentral:rRNA from 1 species
AAGCGGCGGACGGGUGAGUAACGCGUGGGUAACCUACCCUGUACACACGGAUAACAUACCGAAAGGUACGCUAAUACGGGAUAAUAUAUUUGAGAGGCAUCUCUUAAAUAUCAAAGGUGAGCCAGUACAGGAUGGACCCGCGUCUGAUUAGCUAGUUGGUAAGGUAACGGCUUACCAAGGCGACGAUCAGUAGCCGACCUGAGAGGGUGAUCGGCCACAUUGGAACUGAGACACGGUCCAA